GUACUUACUUUGGCAGCAUAUAUAUUAAAGUUGAAACAGUACAGAGAAGAUUCGCAUGGCCCCUGUGCAAGGAUGACACAUAAAAAUUAAUUUGAAUAGCCAUUUAU
ensembl:snRNA U6 U6 spliceosomal RNA